UACGUAGGGUGCGAGCGUUAAUCGGAAUUACUGGGCGUAAAGCGUGCGUAGGUGGUUCGUUGUGUCUGUGGUGAAAGCCCCGGGCUUAACCUGGGAAUGGCCAUGGAAACUGGCGAGCUGGAGUCUGGCAGAGGGGGGUGGAAUUCCGCGUGUAGCAGUGAAAUGCGUAGAGAUGCGGAGGAACACCGAUGGCGAAGGCAGCCCCCUGGGCUAACACUGACGCUCAUGCACGAAAGCGUGGGGAGCAAACAGG
rnacentral:rRNA from 1 species